rnacentral:misc_RNA from 1 species
UUCUGUAUUAAAAAAGGUCAGACAAUGCCGGGUUUAAUCCUAGUUCCUAAUUCAAAACUAGUCAUGUUCAGUCAACACCCGGGGGUAUUUACUCCCCCCAAGUCUAUUUAAAGCAUCAAAAAUGAUCCUUCCGCAGGUUCACCUACGGAAA